rnacentral:lncRNA from 1 species
CACAUGAUUCAGGUGUACACACUGGUUACACCACUGAACAUGAGUUUGCACUAAUGAAUAUUACCCCAUGCCACAUGAUUCAGGUUGUAUCUGUAACAAUGGUUACCACCACUGAAAGAGUUUGCACUACUAUGAAUAUACCCCAUGCCACAUGAUUCAGGUAAACAUGGUUACACCACUGAACUGAGUUGCACUAAUGAAUAUACCCCAUGCCACUGAUUCGGUUGUAUCUGUAACACUGGUUACACCACUGAAAUGAGUUUGCACUAAUGAAUAUACCCCUGCCACAUGAUCAGGUACAACACUGGUUACACCACGAAUGAGUUUGCACUAAUGAAUAUACCCAUGCCACAUGAUUCAGGUUGUAUCUGUAACACAUGGUCACCACUGAAAUGAGUUUGCACAUGGACUAUUACCCCAUGCCACAAAUUCGGUUGUAUCUAGGUAACAACUGGUUCACCACUGAAAUGCGUUCGCCACUAACUGGGAAUAACCCCAUGCCACAUGAUUCAGGUUGUAUCUGUAACACUGGUUACACCACUGAAAUGAGUUUGGGGAAAGGCUUUUUAUAAGUCUCCAUUAUUUUGUAUUUUUGUUUUCUGCUCUCAAGGUGUGAAUAGUUUUGAUUGAAAGCCAACCAGAAUGUGCACAAAUCAGCUUUCAAGACUACACACAAUGUUAACUAAAUAGAUCUAAGGAUUUGGAAUGUAUUGCAGAGAGGAAAAGGUGGUAAUGUUGUUUUCUAUGGGACCAGACAGGAAGAGAUGUGGUAAUGUUGUUUCUAUGGGACCAGACAGGAAGAGAGGUGGUAAUGUUGUUUUCUAUGGGACAGACAGGCAGCGAUGGGAGGUGGGUAAAUGUGUUUUCUAUGGGACCAGACAGGAAGAGAUGGUAAUGUUGUUUUCUAUGGGACCAGACAGGAAGAGAUGGUAAUGUUGUUUUCUAUGGUACCAGACAGGAAGAGAUGGUAAUGUUGUUUUCUUCUGUGAUGAAAUGUAAAGUGCCUUCGGAAAGUAUACAGACCCCUUGACUUUUUCCACAUUUUGUUACGUAACAACCUUAUUCUAAAAUUGAUUUUAAAAAAUUGUUUCCUCAAUCACAAUACCUCAUAAUGACAAAGAAAAAACGGGUUUUUAGACAUUUUUGCUAAUUUAUUCAAAAUAAACUGAAAUAUCAUACUUACACAAGUAUUCAGACCCUUUACUCAGCACUUUGUUGAAGCACCUUUAGCAGCGAUUACAGCCUCCAGUCUUCAUCGGUAUGAAGGUAACUUGGCACACCUGUAUUUGGGGAGUUUCUCCCAUUCUUCUCUGCAGAUCCAAGCUAUGUCAGGAUCGAUGGGGAGCGUCGCUGCACAGCUAUUUUCAGGUCUCCAGAGAUGUUCGAUCGGGUUGGUGCCAGAUUUCCUCCAGACGUGACACUUGGCAUUCUGGCUAAAGAGUUCAAUCUUGGUUUCAUCAGACCAGAGAAUCUUGUUUCUCAUGGUCAGAGUCCUUUCGGUGCAUUUUGGUAAACUCUAAUGUAAAUAUAAAUAAGGUAUUUCUGUUUUGUAUUUGUUUUUACAUUUGCCCAAAAUAAAAAUAAAAACAGUUUUUGCUUUGUCAUUAUGGGGUAUUGUGUGUAGAUUGCUGAGGAUUUUUAUUUAUUUAAUCAAUUUUUGAAUAAGGCUAUAACAUAACAAAAUGUGGAAAAAGUCCAGGUGUCUGAAUACAUUCCAAAGGCACUGUGUACUUCCUAAAUGUCACCCUGUUCCCUUUAUAGUACACUACUUUUGACCAGGGUAGUGCACUAUAAAAGGACUAGGGUGCCAUUUGGGAUAGACGAUAUACUGUAAUAUUUGUUGAAGGAAUGAUAUGAUUGGACUUUGUAAAAAUAAUUUCUUUUUGUAUCUGCUUCUUUUGUAGAAUCAACAUGUCUAAUAUAUUUGUCAAAAGAUCAGUUUUAUGUUCUGUGGUGUGUUUAUUUUAGAUUUUAGUGUGGCGUCAUUGUGGGAGAUUUUCUUGUUAUACCGUACAGACUUUAACCAAAUACAUUUCAACUCAGUUUUUCACAAUUCCUGACAUUUAAUCCUAGUAAAAAUUCCCUGUCUUAGGUCAGAUAGAAUCACCACUUUAUUUUAAGAAUGUGAAAUGUCAGAAUAAUAGUAUAGAGAAUGAUUUAUUUCAGCUUUUAUUUCUUUCAUCACAUUCCCAGUGGGUCAGAAGUUUACAUACACUCAAUUAGUAUUUGGUAGCAUUGCCUUUAAAUUGUUUAACUUCGGUCAAAUGUUUUGGGUAGCCUUCCACAAGCUUCCCACAAUAAGUUGCGUGAAUUUUGGCCCAUUCCUACUGACAGAGCUGGUGUAACUGAGUCAGGUUUUGUAGGCCUCCUUGCUCACACACACUCUUUUUCAAUUCUGUUCACAACUUUUCUAUAGGUUUGAGGUCAGGGCUUUGUGAUGGCCACUUCAGUACCUUGACUUUGUUGUCCUUAUGCCAUUUUGCCACAACUUUGCAAGUAUGCUUGGGGUCAUUGUCCAUUUGGAUGACACAUUUGCAACCAAGCUUUAACUUCCCGACUGAUGUCUUGAGAUGUUGCUUCAAUAUAUCCACAUAAUUUUCCUACCUCAUGAUGCCAUCUAUUUUGUGAAGUGCACCAGUCCCUCCUACAGCAAAGCACCCCCACAACAUGAUGCUGCCACCCCCGUGCUCCACGGUUGGGAUGGUGUUCUUCGGCUUGCAAGCCUCCCCCUUUUUCCUCCAAACAUAACAAUGAUCAUUACGGCCAAACAGUUCUAAUUUUGUUUCAUCAGACCAGAGGACAUUUCUCCAAAAAGUAUGAUCUUUGUCCCCAUGUGCAGUUGCAAACCAUAGUCUGGCUUUUUUAUGGCGGUUUUGGAGCAGUGGCUUCUUCCUUGCUGAGA